rnacentral:rRNA from 1 species
AUUGAACGCUGGCGGCAGGCUUAACACAUGCAAGUCGAACGAGUGGCGGACGGGUGAGUAAUGCUUGGGAAUCUAGCUUAUGGAGGGGGAUAACUACGGGAAACUGUAGCUAAUACCGCGUACCAUAGGAUGAGCCCAAGUGGGAGUAGGUAGUUGGUGAGGUAACUGCUCACCAAGCCGACGAGCACUAGCUGGUCUGAGAGGAUGACCAGCCACACUGGGACGGAGACACGGCCCAGACUCCUACGGGAGGAAGCAGUGGUGAAUAUUGCGCAAUGGGGGCAACCUGACGCAGCCAUGCCGCGUGAAUGAAGAAGGCCUUCGGGUUGUAAAGUUCUUUCGGUAGCGAGGCGUUAACUACAGAAGAAGCACCGGCUAACUCCGUGCCAGCAGCCGCGGUAAUUC